rnacentral:tRNA from 1 species
GGAGAGAUGACUCAGUGGUUAAGAGCACUGACUACUCUUCCAGAGGACCUGGGUUCAAUUCCCAGUACCUACA